rnacentral:rRNA from 1 species
UACGUAGGGUGCGAGCGUUAAUCGGAAUUACUGGGCGUAAAGCGCGUGUAGGCGGCUUGGCAAGUCGGUUGUGAAAGCCCACGGCUCAACCGUGGAAGCGCAUCCGAAACUGCUUCGCUCGAGUCUCGGAGAGGAAGGUGGAAUGCUUGGUGUAGAGGUGAAAUUCGUAGAUAUCAAGCAGAACACCUGCGGCGAAGGCGGCCUUCUGGACGAUGACUGACGCUGAGACGCGAAAGCGUGGGGAGCAAACAGG